rnacentral:rRNA from 1 species
AUUGAACGCUGGCGGCAGGCCUAACACAUGCAAGUCGAGCGAGCGGCGGACGGGUGCGUAAUGUAUGGGGACUGCCCGAUAGAGGGGGAUACAUACUGGAAACGGUGGCUAAUACCGCAUACUAUCGGAUAACCCAUAUGGGAUUAGCUAGUAGGUGGGGUAAAGGCUCACCUAGGCGACGAUCUCUAGCUGGUCUGAGAGGAUGACCAUCCAAACUGUAACUGAGACACUGGCCAGACUCCUACGGAGGCAGCAGUGGGUAAUAUUGCACAAUGGGCGCAAGCCUGAUGCAGCCAUUCCGCGGGUAUGAAGAAGGCCUUCGGGUUGUAAAGUACUUUCAGCGAGGAGGCGUUACUCGCAGAAGAAGCACCGGCUAACUCCGUGCCAGCAGCCGCUGUAAUUC